UACGAAGGGGGGCUAGCGUUGCUCGGAAUUACUGGGCGUAAAGGGCGCGUAGGCGGAUAUCUAAGUUGGGGGUGAAAUCCCGGGGCUCAACCUCGGAAUUGCCUUCAAAACUGGGUAUCUUGAGUUCGGGAGAGGUGAGUGGAACUCCGAGUGUAGAGGUGAAAUUCGUAGAUAUUCGGAAGAACACCAGUGGCGAAGGCGACUUACUGGACACAUAUUGACGCUGAGGUGCGAAAGCGUGGGGAGCAAACAGG
rnacentral:rRNA from 1 species